rnacentral:tRNA from 1 species
GGCCCCUUAGCUCAGUUGGUUAGAGCGCGCGACUCAUAAUCGCUCGGUCCACGGUUCAAGUCCGUGAGGGGCCACCA